rnacentral:rRNA from 1 species
UUUAAAUGGCUGCAGUAAUUUAACUGUACAAAGGUAGCAUAAUAAUUAGUCUUUUAAUUGAGGUCUGGAAUGAAUGGUUCAACAAGAGAAUAACUUUAUUAAUUUUUGAUAAUUUGAAUUUAAUUUUUUGGUUAAAAAGCUAAAAUUUUUAAUUGGGACGAUAAGACCCUAUAGAUCUUAUUUUUUUAAAUUAAUUUUUUAUAUAAGUUUAUUUUUUAAAAUAAAAUAAAAAAAAAUUCGUUGGGGUGACGUUGAAAACUUUAGAACUUUUAAAAAUUUUGUCAUUGAUUAAUGAUUAAUUGAUCUUUAAUUUAGGAUUAGUAGAUUAAGAUACCUUAGGGAUAACAGCGUAAUAAAUUUGGAUAGUUCAUAUUGAUAAAUUUGUUUACGACCUCGAUGUUGAAUUAAUUUAAAAUUUUGGAGUAGAAAUUAAAAAUUUGGGUCUGUUUGACCUUUAAUUAAUUACA